rnacentral:lncRNA from 1 species
UCUGCUGUGCUUCCCCCACAUAGCCUCCAUGUUUCCAGCAUUAUCUUAAUUGUUAUUACCCAGGUAUCAGCUUUCAUUCAUCUUCUAAUCCAAUCAGUAAAUAGUUGCGGAAACCCUUCAUGGCUGCCAGAUUCUGGACACACCAGGCACCGGAGUCGAGUCCUGUGGCCCAGAUCUCAGGCUGAGGAGGUCCAUCAAAAUGCAUAACUGAAAUUUAGCAAGAGAUUGGGAAAACUAAAGCCGUUCUUGCUGUCUCGAGGAAGAUGGUCUCUGGACUCGGCUGGGCCUCACUGGCACCCAUGGCUAGUCCAAACAGGACAAAGAGAGUGUUCCUUUAUUCCUCUCAUCCAGUCCCGAUGACUCCCAUGACUAAGCAUGCAUUGUCACAUGCGCAUUGUAGUCUCUUGUUUCAUCUCAUGGUCACAGUGACCCCAUGAGAUAGCCCAUUUUCCACAGGACAAGGACAUGAGAUAGCCCAUUUCCCACAGGACAACUGGAGGCUUAAUUCUUAGCCCAAGAUCACACAACAAUAUUCAAAAUCAAGUCUUCUGGCCUCCAAAGAUCAAAAGUCCUGAAUUGUUAGAGAUCACUCAUUAAAUAGCUGUCAACUGACUCAUCUCCAUGUUUAGGUCAGCAAUGCAAAUGGCUGACCCACCUACAAAUGGCUGACCCAUCUUUAUGCCCAAGCCCAUUCAAUCUUCUUCCUGUGCAAGGUGCCGUGGCCCAGUCUCUCUCCAGGUACUUAAGCAUGAAGAUCUAUGGGGCCCGGCACUUGGUCAUCUUCAGCCAUUAUUGCACAGUCUACAAGAAUACAAAAUGGCCGGGUUUCUAUGGCACAGCUGCGACUUUGAUGGAUCGUGAGAAGACAUGGCCACCAUUUUUAAUUCUGGAAAUGUAAGCUUUUCUGGAGUAAAUUAACCUAAUCACACAGCACGAGUAAAUUAAUGCCAGUUCACUACCUAAUUGCAAAAAUAAUAUUAACCUGAAGAAUCUAAAUCUACUGGUGACACAUACUCAAUUUUUAUAGUGUGCCCCUGACAGUUUUUCUGGGUUAUAUGUGGUCCUCUGCAGCGGUG